UACGUAGGUGGCAAGCGUUGUUCGGAUUUACUGGGCGUAAAGAGCGCGCAGGCGGUCGUUCAAGUCGCGUGUGAAAGCCCCCGGCUCAACUGGGGAGGGUCACGCGAUACUGAUCGACUCGAAGGCAGGAGAGGGAAGUGGAAUUCCCGGUGUAGUGGUGAAAUGCGUAGAUAUCGGGAGGAACACCAGUGGCGAAGGCGACUUCCUGGCCUGUUCUUGACGCUGAGGCGCGAAAGCUAGGGGAGCAAACGGG
rnacentral:rRNA from 1 species